GGAGAUUUUGGUUAAAGGUCCUGCACGGUCCGAGGGCUGGACUAUUUAUUACCCUUGUCUUUUGCGCACUUGUUGUUUCCUGGGCGGGUUCGCUCGCCACCAGGACCACAAUAUAAACCUUUUUUAUGCAGUUGCAAUCAGCGUCAGUAUAACAAAUGUAAAUCAUUUACAACUUUCAACAACGGAUCUCUUGGUUCUGGCAUCGAUGAAGAACGCAGCGAAAUGCGAUACGUAGUGUGAAUUGCAGAAUUCAGUGAAUCAUCGAAUCUUUGAACGCACAUUGCGCCCUUUGGUAUUCCAAAGGGCAUGCCUGUUCGAGCGUCAUUUGUACCCUCAAGCUUUGCUUGGUGUUGGGCGUUUUUGUCCCCCCCAAAAAGGGGACUCGCCUUAAAAGGAUUGGCAGCCGGCCUACUGGUUUCGCAGCGCAGCACAUUUUUGCGCUUGCAAUCAGCAAAAGAGGACGGCAAUCCAUCAAGACUCCUUCUCACGUUUGACCUCGGAUCAGGUAGGGAUACCCGCUGAACUUAAGCAUAUCAAUAGGCCGGAGGAAA
rnacentral:rRNA from 1 species